rnacentral:tRNA from 4 species
GGGCCCGUAGCUUAGUUGGUUGGAGCACCCGGCUCAUAACCGGGGGGUCAGGGGUUCAAGUCCCUUCGGGCCCA